GGAAUUUUGGACAAUGGGCGAAAGCCUGAUCCAGCCAUUCCGCGUGAGUGAAGAAGGCCUUCGGGUUGUAAAGCUCUUUCGCAAGGGAAGAAAGAUUACUCUCUAACAUAGAGUGAUUAUGACGGUACCUUGAUAAGAAGCACCGGCUAACUACGUGCCAGCAGCCGCGGUAAUACGUAGGGUGCGAGCGUUAAUCGGAAUUACUGGGCGUAAAGCGUGCGCAGGCUGUUUUGUAAGUCAGAUGUGAAAUCCCUGAGCUCAACUUAGGAACUGCGUUUGAAACUACAAGACUAGAAUAUGUCAGAGGGGGGUAGAAUUCCACGUGUAGCAGUGAAAUGCGUAGAGAUGUGGAGGAAUACCAAUGGCGAAGGCAGCCCCCUGGGAUAAUAUUGACGCUCAUGCACGAAAGCGUGGGGAGCAAACAGGAUUAGAUACCCGAG
rnacentral:rRNA from 1 species